rnacentral:rRNA from 1 species
GACAGAGGGUGCGAACGUUGUUCGGAAUUACUGGGCGUAAAGCGCGUGUAGGCGGUCGUGCAAGUCGGGUGUGAAAGCCCUGGGCUCAACCCAGGAAGUGCAUUCGAUACUGCGCGACUGGAGUCCCGGAGAGGAUGGUGGAACUCUCGGUGUAGAGGUGAAAUUCGUAGAUAUCAAGCGGAACACCGGUGGCGAAGGCGGCCUUCUGGACAGUGACUGACGCUGAGACGCGAAAGCGUGGGGAGCAAACAGG